rnacentral:rRNA from 1 species
UACGGAGGAUCCAAGCGUUAUCCGGAAUCAUUGGGUUUAAAGGGUCCGUAGGCGGUUUAAUAAGUCAGUGGUGAAAGCCCAUCGCUCAACGGUGGAACGGCCAUUGAUACUGUUAAACUUGAAUUAUUAGGAAGUAACUAGAAUAUGUAGUGUAGCGGUGAAAUGCUUAGAGAUUACAUGGAAUACCAAUUGCGAAGGCAGGUUACUACUAAUGGAUUGACGCUGAUGGACGAAAGCGUGGGGAUCAAACAGG